AUAUAAUAUUAUUAUUAUCAUUACUAUUAUGAUAUCGACACACGAAUAUUAAUAUUCGAGUGCCAGCUAUAUAGGUACACAUUACACGUUCGUAAUACUGUAGGUACUAUUAUACGCGUUACCAGCCCGGCAAGGUCGUAAUAAUAUAACGUUCCGAUUUAAGCGACCGAAUAAUAAUUGCUUCACCCCUUUCACUAUUGUUUUCUACGCAGAGCCGCAUUAUAGGUACGCGAGCCGGCGAGUGAGCGAAGGACACGGACACGCGCGGCAGUGGCAGCACCCGCAGACUCGGA